rnacentral:rRNA from 1 species
GAGUUUGAUCAUGGCUCAGAUUGAACGCUGGCGGUAGCUUAACACAUGCAAGUCGAACGGUAACAGGCCUUCGGGCGCUGACGAGUGGCGGACGGGUGAGUAACGCGUAGGAAUCUGCCUCAUAGUGGGGGACAACGUGGGGAAACUCACGCUAAUACCGCAUACGCCCUACGGGGGAAAGGAGGGGAUCUUCGGACCUUUCGCUAUGAGAUGAGCCUGCGUUAGAUUAGCUAGUUGGUAGGGUAAAGGCCUACCAAGGCGACGAUCUAUAGCUGGUCUGAGAGGACGAUCAGCCACACUGGGACUGAGACACGGCCCAGACUCCUACGGGAGGCAGCAGUGGGGAAUAUUGGACAAUGGGCGAAAGCCUGAUCCAGCAAUACCGCGUGUGUGAAGAAGGCCUUAGGGUUGUAAAGCACUUUCAAUUGGGAGGAAAACCUGCCGGCCAAUACCCGGUAGCUUGACAUUACCUUUAGAAGAAGCACCGGCUAACUCCGUGCCAGCAGCCGCGGUAAUACGGAGGGUGCGAGCGUUAAUCGGAAUUACUGGGCGUAAAGCGUGCGUAGGCGGUUCGUUAAGUCAGAUGUGAAAGCCCUGGGCUCAACCUGGGAACUGCAUUUGAAACUGGCGGACUAGAGUUUAGUAGAGGGGAGUGGAAUUUCAGGUGUAGCGGUGAAAUGCGUAGAUAUCUGAAGGAACACCAGUGGCGAAGGCGACUCCCUGGACUAGAACUGACGCUGAGGUACGAAAGCGUGGGUAGCAAACAGGAUUAGAUACCCUGGUAGUCCACGCCGUAAACGAUGUCGACUAGCCGUUGGCCCUAUUUACAGGGUUAGUGGCGCAGCUAACGCAUUAAGUCGACCGCCUGGGGAGUACGGCCGCAAGGUUAAAACUCAAAUGAAUUGACGGGGGCCCGCACAAGCGGUGGAGCAUGUGGUUUAAUUCGAUGCAACGCGAAGAACUUACCUACC